GACGAACGCUGGCGGCGUGCUUAACACAUGCAAGUCGAACGGAAAGGCCCUGCUUGCAGGGUACUCGAGUGUCGAACGGGUGAGUAACACGUGGGUGAUCUGCUCUGCACUUCGUGAUAAGCCUGCGAAACUGGGUCUAUUACCGGAUAGGAGCCAUUCUUAGUGUGAUGGUUGGAAAGUUUUUUCGGUGUGGGAUGAGCUCGCGGCCUAUCAGCUUGUUGGUGGGUUAGUGGCUUACAAAGCCGGCGACGGGUCGCCGGCCUGAGAGGGGGACGGGCCACAUUGGAAUUGAGAAACGCCCAAGACCCCUCGGGGAGGAGGAGUGGGGAAUAAUGGAAAAAGGGGGGAAACCCGAUGGAAGGAAGGCGGGUGGGGGGUGGACGGCUUCCGGUUGGAAAACCCUUUCGCUAGGGACGGAGGUGUGUGUGACGGUACCUGGAUAAGAAGCACCGGCUAACUACGUG
rnacentral:rRNA from 1 species